rnacentral:rRNA from 1 species
GACAGAGGGAGCGAGCGUUGUCCGGAGUCACUGGGCGUAAAGCGCGCGCAGGCGGCAACCUUAGUGUCGUGUGAAAGCCCACGGCUCAACCGGGGGAGGCCAUGGCAAACUGGGUCGCUCGAGCUGCGGAGAGGCCCCUCGAAUUGCCGGUGUAGCGGUGAAAUGCGUAGAGAUCGGCAGGAAGACCAAGGGGGAAGCCAGGGGGCUGGCCGCAUGCUGACGCUGAGGCGCGACAGCGUGGGGAGCAAACCGG